GCUACAUGAAAAAUUACUCUAAUUAUGGCUGCAUUUAAGAGAAUGGAAAAAAACCUUCUUGUGGAUAAAAACCUUAAAUUGUCCCCAAUGUCUGCUUCAAAUUGGAUGGCACUGCAGCUGGAGGCUUUGUUCAGAAUUGAUCCUGGGGAGCUCUGAACCCAAAGUUUCACAGUGGGAAGGGGAAAAAAAGAAAAGAAAACAUUUUUCCUAAUGUAACAAUACGAAUGGUAGAAAAUGACAAGACUGAUCGGUUUUAAAGCACUCUGAAGACUGACUGAGCGUGGAAGUUGCUCAAAAAAAAAAAAAAACAAACCAAAAAACACCCCCCAAAACACUGGUAUAUUGCUGGGAAAUUGCAUCUCGGUGCUGGAAUUAUCCGAAAAUAUAGGCAAUUUUAAAACGUUAUGUGUGGCAUCAAAAAGGGAGCGCUCGCUCGCAGACGGCUGAGGGAAGGGCACUUUCAGCUCCUUCUGCGGUCGCCCGAUCUCUGUCGCGCAUUAGCCUGCACAACUGAAGAAGAUGAUGUACAGGCAAGAGAGUGCCAAAGAAAGGAAGAGCUACUGGAGUUCUUCAUGCAAAAUCCCUGCUGUGGAAAGAUUCUUCUGCUUGUGGUGUGCUGUGACUAACAGAGGAAAAGUGUGGCAAUGAAAGACCUGAAUCUCCUGCUGCCCAAACUGCUUUCCCACUCCAUCUUCAUGUCCAAACCCACUCCAAAUUGCUUUUGUAUUCCUUCUGUCCCAUACAUGAAGUCAGACUGAGAUUCGUUUGCAGAAUGGUUUGAGUAACCUCUGCUCUAAAGCAUAGACAGACCAAAACAAUAGUACAGCUAUUGAGAGACUUGCCUGUUCGUUGGUUAAGGGGUGCCAGGGAACAGUGUCUGGAAAAGGUCAGCUGAAAUGAGCAAUGUGACAGUGAGCCUCAGAAACCUGUUUGUGGAUAAGCCGCUAUAGCCAUAGCCAUAGAAUAAAGGCAACACCCUAUCAAAUCCUAAAGACUGUUCUUCUCACAAAUACCGACCUGCUGUACCAGGAGAGCACUGUCUGCUGAGACUGCUUGAGCUGCAAGAGGGCACUGAACUUUGGUGUACCUGUCCUAGAGGUCUCCCAAAGCUAACAAAAUGAACCUGUAGCUAACAAAAAUCACAUAAGCCUGUGUUAGUGACCAAAGUUAGGACUUGGGUUUCUGGGGUGAAGAAUGGCUGCUUUUUCUUGCUAAGAUCACUAACAGCUGAAGAAAUCCAACAGCCUUUUUUAAUGAGCCCCUUAGAGCUUGUAAAAUGGUAUUAGCUAUUAUCAUAGUUAAUAUUGCUUGAUGUGGAAAUAUAAACUCAGGAAAACAAGUACUAAAACAUUUGUGUAAAUGUAACUCCUGACAUUUAUGUUUAUUAAUUUGCUUUCGAGCAGUUUUCCAUAUUAAAAAGAGAUUGAUUACUCUGAAUGUGGAAAAUACCACGUUGUCACUAAUAUAUUUUAUUUAAUUACAAAAGCAAUAGAAAGAGGGUUUUAAUAUAAUUCUCCUCCACAAUUCAGUAUGCAAGAUUUUUUAAAAAUCUAACACACACUUGACAAGAAACAGAUAUGUUGAAAGACAUCAAUAAAUGUACUGAUUAAGAGUUUGAGACACUUACUUUAAAAAUGUGGAGCAAAGGCUGACUAUUCUAAUUACCUGAGACAUGUGACGUCAAUUGUCCUUAAUACUUUAAGAAUGACAGGUUACAAAUGAAUAGAUAUUAGGGCUUUCUGCUCUGUUGCUUGCUGAAGAAUCUGUUGAAGGACAAGUACUUGGAUAUGUCACCUUGUGUCUCAGGAGCCGAAGGGAGUAGAGAAGAAUGAAAGGAUGAUGGGAAAAGUGAGAUUAUCUCAGUGUUGCAUUCUUUCCUAAAUCCAAAGUGGGAACUGAUUCUCAAAGAGAAAACAAUGCUUUGUGGUUUUCAAUUAGAAAUACUUAAAGGUGUAUGCAGCUAAGCUCCAAGCAUUAUUUCCCCUCACAGCUCUGAGGAGUGCUAAGAAACUGCAUAGACUGUAUUUCCCAUAUAAAUAAAAAGAGGAAUUAAUUCUCUUUAGUGCUGGACAUGGGCUGCUGACCAAGUUGUUCGCUGCUUUCAAAGGCUCAAAACAAGAGCUACACUGCUAAUGAUGUUAAUAUGAACUCCUUGUUAAAUAAAGAUUAUGUCUUUUUUCUAA